GAUGAACGCUGGCGGCGUGCUUAAUACAUGCAAGUCGAACGGAGAUAGUAGCAAUAUUAUCUUAGUGGCGAACGGGUGAGUAACGCGUUGGUGACCUGCCCCGAAGAGAGGGAUAGCAGUUCGAAAGGACUGAUAAUACCUCAUGUGGUUGUUGGUUUUAGAAUCUGACAACUAAACGGAUUUAUUCGCUUCGGGAGGGGCCCGCGUCCCAUCAGCUAGUUGGUAGGGUAAUGGCCUACCAAGGCGAUGACGGGUAGGGGACCUGAGAGGGUGGCCCCCACAAUGGAACUGAAACACGGUCCAUACACCUACGGGUGGCAGCAGUAGGGAAUAUUGGUAAUCUGCGAAAGCGGGAACCAGCAACGCCGCGUGCACGAUGAAGGCCUUCGGGUCGUAAAGUGCUUUUAGAGAGGAUGAGGAAGGACAGUACUUUCUGAAUAAGCCUCGGCUAACUACGUGCCAGCCGCCGCGGUAACAC
rnacentral:rRNA from 1 species